rnacentral:rRNA from 1 species
UACGUAGGGUGCGAGCGUUAAUCGGAAUUACUGGGCGUAAAGCGUGCGCAGGCGGUUUUGUAAGCCAGAUGUGAAAUCCCCGGGCUUAACCUGGGAAUGGCAAUGGAUACUGGCAAGCUAGAGUGCGGUAGAGGGUAGUGGAAUUCCCGGUGUAGCGGUGAAAUGCGUAGAGAUCGGGAGGAACACCAGUGGCGAAGGCGGCUACCUGGACCAGCACUGACACUGAGGCACGAAAGCGUGGGGAGCAAACGGG